GCCCUGUUUGUAGGGGGCAGGUCAGCGGGACUCAAAAUCCCCCGCCGCAAGGCGUGCCGGUUCGAUUCCGGCCCUGGGCACCA
rnacentral:tRNA from 1 species